GCCGGGCAUGGUGGUGCACACCUGUAAUCCCAGCUGCACUGGAGGCUGAGGCAGGAGGAUCUCAAUUUCAGGGACGGCCUCAGCAAGGUAGUGAGACCCUGUCUCAA
rnacentral:sRNA from 1 species